UACGGGGGGUGCGAGCGUUGUCGAUGAAUCUGGGCGUAAAGGGCGCGUAGGUGGCUUUGUAAGUUUGCGGUGAAAGCCCGGGGCUCAACCCCGGGUCUGCCGUGGAUACUGCAAGGCUUGAGUACUGUAGAGGCAGGUAGAAUAUCGGGUGUAGCGGUGGAAUGCGUAGAGAUCCGAUAGAAGACCGGUGGCGAAGGCGGCCUGCUGGGCAGUAACUGACACUGGAGGCGCGACAGCGUGGGGAGCAAACAGG
rnacentral:rRNA from 1 species